rnacentral:rRNA from 1 species
GACGAACGCUGGCGGCGUGCUUAACACAUGCAAGUCGAACGGAAAGGCCCUGCUUUUGUGGGGUGCUCGAGUGGCGAACGGGUGAGUAGCACGUGAGUAACCUGCCCUUGACUUUGGGAUAACUUCAGGAAACUGGGGCUAAUACCGGAUAGGAGCUCCUGCUGCAUGGCGGGGGUUGGAAAGUUUCGGCGGUUGGGGAUGGACUCGCGGCUUAUCAGCUUGUUGGUGGGGUAGUGGCUUACCAAGGCUUUGACGGGUAGCCGGCCUGAGAGGGUGACCGGCCACAUUGGGACUGAGAUACGGCCCAGACUCCUACGGGAGGCAGCAGUGGGGAAUAUUGCACAAUGGGCGGAAGCCUGAUGCAGCAACGCCGCGUGCGGGAUGACGGCCUUCGGGUUGUAAACCGCUUUCGCCUGUGACGAAGCGUGAGUGACGGUAAUGGGUAAAGAAGCACCGGCUAACUACGUG